AGUGGGGCAUGCUCCGUUGAGACUUUAUUCACUCUGGGCAGUUUGUUGAAGAUUAGGUGGUCAGCUCACAAUGAAUCAUAAGCUGCUUUUGUCCCUUGCUGUCUAUGCUUAGAAGCUAAAAGGUUAAGCAGCGAUGUCAGCGCUAUCAGGGAGCUGUGGAGACUGGAAUUGAAGUUCAGAACCUUUCAUGGGAGACAGCUCAGAUGUAUUUCUGUGCAAAACUUGUCUCCAAGGAAGACUCUAAUCUUCUAAACUCUGGAUUUAUAUGAUUUCUCAAUAUGCUAUAUCAACCUCAUUUUGCUAAUAAUGAUACAGGACGGAGGCAGCAAAGUUCUGGAUAGAGAAGGAUGGGGUCCCUGGUGAGGGCUCCACCCUCAGGCCUGUGCCCAUGGACCUAAGUAUGGACAAGCACUCCUGUUUUUGCACCCAAAUGUUGCAUUUUCCAAGACCACUCUGACCCAACACAUGCUCCAUCCUGUGCUUAUAAAAAUCCCGAGACCCUAACAGGCACACACAGAAGUGGCUGGACGUUGAGAGGAGCAGAAGAGCACACUGACAGACACCAGCAAAUGCUCGCAGGCCAUCGAGGGCAGGAUGAGGAUGACUUGGAAUUUGGCAGGGGAUGAUUAGAGGAGAGUCUGGCCACUGGGCAGCCAACUCCACAUUCCCACUUAAUCCUCCUUCUGUUCUCCCCAUCCAUCUUGCUGAGAGCUACCUCCGCUCAAUAAAAUCUUGCACCCACCCUCAAAGCCUAUGUGUGAUCCAAUUUUUCCGGUACAUGAAGGCAAGAACCCAGGAUACAGAAAGCCCUCUGUCCUUGUUGAGCUAAUUAACAAAAGCCACUUGCAGAUGGCAAAACUGAAAGUGCACACUGUAACACAUGCCCACUGGGGCCUCAGGAGCUGUAAACACUCAAGCCUAGAUACUACCAUGGGAUUGGAGCCCAAAAUGCUUUCCACAGCCUCCCUGACUGCAUGCUC
rnacentral:lncRNA from 1 species